rnacentral:rRNA from 1 species
CGAGAAAGCCCGCAAGGGUGAGUAAAGCGGCGCACGGGUGCGUAACACGUGGAUAAUCUGCCCUGGAGUCCGGAACAACUCGCCGAAAGGCGAGCUAAUGCCGGAUGAGACCACGGGGGCUUCGGCCCCUGAGGGAAAAGGUGGCCUCUGUACACAAGCUAUCGCUUCAGGAUGAGUCCGCGGCCCAUCAGCUAGUUGGCGGGGUAAUGGCCCACCAAGGCGACGACGGGUAGCUGGUCUGAGAGGACGAUCAGCCACACUGGAACUGAGACACGGCCCAGACUCCUACGGGAGGCAGCAGUGGGGAAUCUUGCGCAAUGGGCGAAAGCCUGACGCAGCAACGCCGCGUGUGUGAUGAAGGUCUUCGGAUCGUAAAGCACUGUCGCGAGGGACG